AUUGAACGCUGGCGGCAGGCUUAACACAUGCAAGUCGAGCGGAGACUUCGGUCUUAGCGGCGAACGGGUGAGUAAUACCUAGGAAUCUGCCUAUUAGUGGGGGAUAACGAAUCGAAAGGUUCGCUAAUACCGCAUACGUCCUACGGGAGAAAGGGGGGAGUCUUCGGACCUCUCGCUAAUAGAUGAGCCUAGGCCGGAUUAGCUAGUUGGUAGGGUAAAGGCCUACCAAGGCGACGAUCUGUAGCUGGUCUGAGAGGAUGGCCAGCCACACUGGAACUGAGACACGGUCCAGACUCCUACGGGAGGCAGCAGUGGGGAAUAUUGGACAAUGGGGGCGAACCCUCGAUCCAGCCAUGCCGCGUGUGUGAAGAA
rnacentral:rRNA from 1 species